UAUAUAUAGGUGUUUUGUGCACGUAGGAUUUUGAUUCCUAAGGAGGAAUUUACAUUUCAUAUAUAA
rnacentral:tRNA from 4 species